CCGCCGCGUUCGAUUUCGCGAGAUCAAGGUCGGGUCCAAGGAAGUUUUCGGGAAGAUUGGGAAAGAGAGAGUCGUGGCUGCACCCGAAAUUGCACGAAGAGCCAGCGGUCAAAUUAAUAUCUCGCAAUUGUCCAAUCGGUCGAAAAGAUUCGCGGGAAAUCCGAAUUGAAUUCGGCGAGGUCACGUUCCUUAAUCUGAGGAUCACGGUUUCGCUCACUUUCGUCCGAACCGCAGAUAACAGUGGAAGUGUCUUGCUUUGUUCGUGUGUCGUUUUUCAAUUUUUCUAGUUGAAUUGUGCAAGUCAAUAUAGUGUGCGUCGUAGGCUAGAUUUGUGUGCUUAAAAUCGAUCUAGGCCAGCCGACGGCUAUAUUUCCUUCCACGCGCCAGGUCAGCGGAAUCCCCCGGACGAAAGACCCCGGCAACCGUCAUCUUGUCCGGUGGGAAGCGAUUCGUCCCUAUAUCGCUUCAGUGGGGAGUGUGGUUGUCCAUUGCCACCAUCGACCAAGCCGCCAUUCGAGACACGUGGAAGUCGCCAACCGCCAUUCAUUGGCCCACGUGGUGGCCCUCAAUCGUCAACCGCCAGCGGCGGUAACAGCAGCGCAGGAUACAGCAGCAGUAACCAUCUGGUGAGUCCGGACCAAUUAUUCUGAGUGAAGUGUGGCGUCCGCUGAGGACGCCACGGAGAAGUUUUCUGUGCCAACCGUAAGUUGAAGAGCAUGACUUGCUAAAAAGUUCGAACUUUGGAUGAAUUGAGGUUGGGUGUCGGCGAGAAACUAAAACGUGCGCACGUACCGUAAUUUAUGGCCGCCCACCCAACCCAAUCAGAUUAGACACCCGGGUGCAACAGCAAUAGCCUUUACGUUGCUGCAUCGUCGUCGCAUCGUUAGUGAUGAAGAAACAACACACAAUAGCACAGAUAGUAGAAUUUGAAUACGCACACAAGUAGGAUAGAGUAAAGAGGAGAGAAAGAGGAAAGAACUCGACACCAUUAUAAGCAUGCUUAAUGAAAUAAAAUCUUAAUAUUAAAUGUCGAAUAAACCCAAUGAUGUGAUUAUUGUUAUUUAUACUAUCCUAUUUAUUGAAUACAUGUUUUGAG